UACGAAGGGGGCUAGCGUUGUUCGGAUUUACUGGGCGUAAAGCGCACGUAGGCGGGUCGUUAAGUCAGGGGUGAAAUCCCGGGGCUCAACCCCGGAACUGCCUUUGAUACUGGGUAUCUAGAGUCCGGAAGAGGAUCGCGGAAUUCCCGGUGUAGAGGUGAAAUUCGUAGAUAUCGGGAGGAACACCAGUGGCGAAGGCGGCGAUCUGGGAAGAUACUGACGCUGAGGUGCGAAAGCGUGGGGAGCAAACAGG
rnacentral:rRNA from 1 species